rnacentral:rRNA from 1 species
GGUUAAGUGAAUAAGGGCGCACGGUGGAUGCCUUGGCACUAGGAGCCGAUGAAGGACGGGACUAACACCGAUAUGCUUUGGGGAGCUGUACGUAAGCUAUGAUCCAGAGAUUUCCGAAUGGGGAAACCCAACAUCUUUUAUAGGAUGUUACGUUUGCGUGAAUACAUAGCGCAUUCGAGGUAGACGCAGAGAACUGAAACAUCUAAGUACCUGCAGGAAGAGAAAGAAAAUUCGAUUCCCUGAGUAGCGGCGAGCGAAACGGGAAAAGCCCAAACCAAUGAGCUUGCUCAUUGGGGUUGUAGGACUCCAAUAUGGUAGUUCUUUCAGAUAAUCGAAUGACUUGGAAAAGUCAGUCAAAGAGGGUAAAAACCCCGUAGAUGAAAUUUGGAAGGCACCUAGGAGGAUCCUGAGUACGGCGGAACACGAGGAAUUCCGUCGGAAUCCGGGAGGACCAUCUCCCAAGGCUAAAUACUCCCUAGUGACCGAUAGUGAACCAGUACCGUGAGGGAAAGGUGAAAAGCACCCCGGAAGGGGAGUGAAAUAGAACCUGAAACCGUGUGCCUACAACAAGUCAAAGCCCGUUAAUGGGUGAUGGCGUGCCUUUUGUAGAAUGAACCGGCGAGUUACGAUUGCAUGCGAGGUUAAGUCGAAGAGACGGAGCCGCAGCGAAAGCGAGUCUGAAUAGGGCGUUUGAGUAUGUAGUCGUAGACCCGAAACCAUGUGAUCUACCCAUGUCCAGGUUGAAGGUGCGGUAAAACGCACUGGAGGACCGAACCCACGUACGUUGAAAAGUGCGGGGAUGAGGUGUGGGUAGCGGAGAAAUUCCAAACGAACUUGGAGAUAGCUGGUUCUCUCCGAAAUAGCUUUAGGGCUAGCCUCGGAUUUGAGAAUGAUGGAGGUAGAGCACUGUUUGGACUAGGGGCCCAUCUCGGGUUACCGAAUUCAGAUAAACUCCGAAUGCCAUUCAUUCAUAUCCGGGAGUCAGACUGUGAGUGAUAAGAUCCAUAGUCGAAAGGGAAACAGCCCAGACCACCAGCUAAGGUCCCAAAAUAUAUGUUAAGUGGAAAAGGAUGUGGGGUUGCACAGACAACUAGGAUGUUGGCUCAGAAGCAGCCACCAUUUAAAGAGUGCGUAAUAGCUCACUAGUCGAGUGACCCUGCGCCGAAAAUGUACCGGGGCUAAACAUAUUACCGAAGCUGUGGAGUACACCAUGAGGUGUAUUGGUAGGAGAGCGUUCUAAGGGCGUUGAAGGCAGAUCGUGAGGACUGCUGGAGCGCUUAGAAGUGAGAAUGCCGGUAUGAGUAGCGAAAGACAGGUGAGAAUCCUGUCCACCGAAUGACUAAGGUUUCCUGGGGAAGGCUCGUCCGCCCAGGGUUAGUCGGGACCUAAGCCGAGGCCGACAGGCGUAGGCGAUGGACAACAGGUUGAUAUUCCUGUACUCGUUGUUUUUGUUUGAGCAAUGGAGGGACGCAGGAGGCUAAGGAAUGCAGACGAUUGGAAAUGUCUGUCCAAGCAGUAAGUCUUGAUAGGAGUCAAAUGCUUCUGUCUACACGGAUAAGCUGUGAUGGGGAGGGAAAUAAUAGUACCGAAGUUCCUGAUGUCACACUGCCAAGAAAAGCUUCUAGUGAGAAAACAAUGACCCGUACCGCAAACCGACACAGGUAGUCGAGGAGAGAAUCCUAAGGUGAGCGAGAGAACUCUCGUUAAGGAACUCGGCAAAAUGACCCCGUAACUUCGGGAGAAGGGGUGCUGAUCUUUGAUCAGCCGCAGUGAAUAGGCCCAAGCGACUGUUUAUCAAAAACACAGGUCUCUGCAAAAUCGUAAGAUGAAGUAUAGGGGCUGACGCCUGCCCGGUGCUGGAAGGUUAAGAGGAGUGCUUAGCGUAAGCGAAGGUACGAAUUGAAGCCCCAGUAAACGGCGGCCGUAACUAUAACGGUCCUAAGGUAGCGAAAUUCCUUGUCGGGUAAGUUCCGACCCGCACGAAAGGCGUAACGAUUUGGGCACUGUCUCAACGAGAGACUCGGUGAAAUUUUAGUACCUGUGAAGAUGCAGGUUACCCGCGACAGGACGGAAAGACCCCAUGGAGCUUUACUGUAGUUUGAUAUUGAGUGUCUGUACCGCAUGUACAGGAUAGGUAGGAGCCGUAGAAAUCGGAACGCUAGUUUCGAUGGAGGCGCUGGUGGGAUACUACCCCUGCGUUAUGGCCACUCUAACCCGCACCACUGAUCGUGGUGGGAGACAGUGUCAGAUGGGCAGUUUGACUGGGGCGGUCGCCUCCUAAAAGGUAACGGAGGCGCCCAAAGGUUCCCUCAGAAUGGUUGGAAAUCAUUCGAAGAGUGUAAAGGCAGAAGGGAGCUUGACUGCGAGACCAACAAGUCGAGCAGGGACGAAAGUCGGGCUUAGUGAUCCGGUGGUUCCGCAUGGAAGGGCCAUCGCUCAACGGAUAAAAGCUACCCUGGGGAUAACAGGCUUAUCUCCCCCAAGAGUCCACAUCGACGGGGAGGUUUGGCACCUCGAUGUCGGCUCGUCGCAUCCUGGGGCUGUAGUCGGUCCCAAGGGUUGGGCUGUUCGCCCAUUAAAGCGGCACGCGAGCUGGGUUCAGAACGUCGUGAGACAGUUCGGUCCCUAUCCGUCGCGGGCGUUGGAAAUUUGAGAGGAGCUGUCCUUAGUACGAGAGGACCGGGAUGGACUUACCGCUGGUGUACCAGUUGUUCUGCCAAGGGCAUUGCUGGGUAGCUAUGUAGGGAAGGGAUAAACGCUGAAAGCAUCUAAGUGUGAAGCCCACCUCAAGAUGAGAUUUCCCAUUUCUUUAAGAAAGUAAGAUCCCUGAGAGAUGAUCAGGUAGAUAGGUCAGGAGUGGAAGGCCAGUGAUGGUUGGAGCGGACUGAUACUAAUCGAUCGAGGACUUAACCAA